UCGAGAAUCUUCGGCAAUGGGCGCAAGCCUGACCGAGCGACGCCGCGUGGAGGACGAAGGCCUUCGGGUUGUAAACCCCUGUCGAGGGGGAGGAAGCCGCGAGGUUGACCGAUCCCUGGAGGAAGCACGGGCUAAGUUCGUGCCAGCAGCCGCGGUAAGACGAACCGUGCGAACGUUAUUCGGAAUCAUUGGGCUUAAAGGGCGCGUAGGCGGGCCGCCGCGUCGGGGCUGAAAGCCCCCGGCUCAACCGGGGAAUGGGCCUCGAGACGGGCGGCCUGGAGGCGAGGAGGGGGACCUGGAACGUCCGGUGGAGCGGUGAAAUGCGUUGAGAUCGGACGGAACUCCGACGGCGAAAGCAAGGUCCUGGACUCGUACUGACGCUGAGGCGCGAAAGCCAGGGGAGCGAACGG
rnacentral:rRNA from 1 species